rnacentral:tRNA from 1 species
GCCAGUGGCCAUCUCGGUGCGGUUCCCACGUCGCCCUCCGGAGGCGAAAGCGCAGGUUCGAAUCCUGCCGGGGGCA